AAGAUUUUGGAAGCUCAAGAUAAAGUUGCAGAACAAACACUGAUUUUGGUCCCCUACAACAUCCUUCCUCUUGAUCCUGAUAGUGCAAACCAGGCUAUUAUGCAAUAUCCUGAGAUCCAAGCAGCUGUUUAUGCUCUUCGUAACACAAGGGGUCUACCUUGGCCCAAUAAUCACAAGAGAAAGAAAGAUGAAGACGUUCUUGAUUGGCUUCAAGAAACGUUUGGGUUUCAGAAAGAUAAUGUAGCAAAUCAAAGGGAACAUCUGAUCU